AAAGUUGUUGCAGUUAAAAAGCUCGUAGUUGGAUUUCGGGACGGCACGGUCGGUCCGCCGCAAGGUGUGUCACUGGCCGGGCUGUUCUUCCUCGCAAAGACUGCGUGUGCUCUUAGCUGAGUGUGCGGAGGACUUGCGACGUUUACUUUGAAAAAAUUAGAGUGUUCAAAGCAGGCCAUCGCUUGAAUACAUAAGCAUGGGAAGUUGUUGAGAACAAAGAUGAUGUUACAUACACCAAUGAAAGUGCUGUGACCAUUUUAAGAGACCUUGAAGAUACAGAGAAAGCUGUUAAGGUAGAAACCAUCUCAGGACCAAAUGGUGACAUACCUAGUUGUCCCAUCAAAGAGGAAAAUCCAGGAAUUUCCCAGUCAGGGCAUAAAGAGUUCACUGUUCUCAAUUUCUUCUUUUCCUUGUAA
rnacentral:ncRNA from 1 species